GUCGUACAGGUCUCCGUAGGUGAACUUGCGGAGGGAUCAUUACACAAAUAUGAAGGCGGGCUGGAACCUCUCGGGGUUACAGCCUUGCUGAAUUAUUCACCCUUGUCUUUUGCGUACUUCUUGUUUCCUUGGUGGGUUCGCCCACCACUAGGACAAACAUAAACCUUUUGUAAUUGCAAUCAGCGUCAGUAACAAAUUAAUAAUUACAACUUUCAACAACGGAUCUCUUGGUUCUGGCAUCGAUGAAGAACGCAGCGAAAUGCGAUAAGUAGUGUGAAUUGCAGAAUUCGGUGAAUCAUCGAAUCUUUGAACGCACAUUGCGCCCUUUGGUAUUCCAAAGGGCAUGCCUGUUCGAGCGUCAUUUGUACCCUCAAGCUUUGCUUGGUGUUGGGCGUCUUGUCUCUAGCUUUGCUGGAGACUCGCCUUAAAGUAAUUGGCAGCCGGCCUACUGGUUUCGGAGCGCAGCACAAGUCGCACUCUCUAUCAGCAAAGGUCUAGCAUCCAUUAAGCCUUUUUUUCAACUUUUGACCUCGGAUCAGGUAGGGAUACCCGCUGAACUUAAGCAUAUC
rnacentral:rRNA from 1 species